AUCCAUGUCCAGGCUGAAGCUUGAGUAAAAUCAAGUGGAGGGCCGAACUCAUAGACGUUAAAAAGUCUCGGGAUGAGGUGUGGAUAGCGGAGAAAUUCCAAUCGAACUCGGAGAUAGCUGGUUCUCCUCGAAAUAGUUUUAGGACUAGCCUUGUUUCGUAGCAUUUGGGGGUAGAGCACUGAAUGAGGUAGGGGCCAACACGGUUACUGAACUCUAUCAAACUACGAAUACCAAAUGUGUAAGAACAAGAGUCAGACUGCGGGAGCUAAGUUCCGUGGUCAAAAGGGAAAGAGCCCAGAUCGUCAAUUAAGGUCCCAAAGAUAUAGUUAAGUGGAAAACGAUGUGAUUUUGCGUAAACAACCAGGAUGUUGGCUUAGAAGCAGCCAUUCAUUCAAAGAGUGCGUAAUAGCUCACUGGUCGAGUGAAGUUGCGCGGAAAAUUACCGGGGCUAAACUAUACACCGAAAUUGCGGAUUUGCAUAGAAAUAUGUAAGUGGUAGAGGAGCAUUCUAUAGUAGGACGAAGCAUAAUCGAAAGGAUAUGUGGACGAGAUAGAAGAGAGAAUGCCGGAAUAAGUAGCGAAAGCAUGGUGAGAAUCCAUGCCAUCGAAAGUCUAAGGUUUCCUGGGGAAGGUUCGUCCGCCCAGGGUAAGUCGGGACCUAAGGAGAGGCCGAGAGGCGUAUCUGAUGGACAGCAGGUUGAUAUUCCUGCACUAUAGAUAUACUUAAAAGAUGCAAGGGACGCAGAAGUGGAAGGAAUGCGAGGAAGAGGAAAAACUCGUAUCGAAAGAUAUAGUGAAAAUAAAGUAACGAAUUUCCAAGAAGCACGCUGACGAGAAAAGCUUGUAGAUAUUGUAUAUAAAUACCCGUACCGCAAACCGACACAGGUAGAUGAGGAGAGGAUCCUAAGACGAGCGGGAGAAGCAUUGUUAAGGAACUCGGCAAAUUGACCCCGUAACUUCGGAAUAAGGGGUGCCUAUGUAAAAGUAGGCCGCAGAGAAUAGGCCCAAGCAACUGUUUAACAAAAACACAGGUUUCUGCUAAAUCGAAAGAUGAAGUAUAGGAGCUGACACCUGCCCAGUGCUGGAAGGUUAAGGGAAAGAGUUAGGAGUAAUCCGAAGCUUAGAACUAAAGCCCCAGUGAACGGCGGCCGUAACUAUAACGGUCCUAAGGUAGCGAAAUUCCUUGUCAGGUAAGUUCUGACCCGC
rnacentral:rRNA from 1 species